ACGGAUAGCCACAGGAGGGAGACCAAAGCUGCGGCAGCCCAACCUAUUCUCACCGUGCCUGUGUGAUUUCCUGUGCUGCUGCCUGCAGACAGACGAGGCACAGCGCUGGUCUGCCAAGGAGCUCCUGCAGCAUCCAUUUGUAACAUCGGCCAAGCCAGCAUCCACCCUGUCACCACUCAUCAUUUCAUUGAAGAAGAAGAUGAUGACAAAAAUGUGACAGAAGACACUGUCUUUAUAACUAGUGUAGAGUAGGACUGUAGUGUAGGUUUGCCUAGUAGUUUUGUAGAGUAGGAUUAUAGAAUAGGAUAUAAAAAAUUGUAAAUAAAUAAAGUUUUCUGGUCAAUGGGUGGGCAGUUAACUUUUGAAAGAGGAACAGUGCAGAAUGGAGGCAUUGUUGGCAUUGAGUUGGUAUUCUGAGCCAUCGUGGUCUCAUCUCACGUGCCGGCCAUGUGGGAGCUGAUGCUGUAAGUGGGAAAAUUCCACUCCUGAGCAGGAGAUAUCAGGCCUGGCUUGGAGGGUGAGAAGGGUGAGAUACAAAACAAUCACUGUUUUGAUGCAGGGGAUGUCCUGAAAGUGCACUGCCUACCUUCCCUCCUGUCAAGCACCAUGCUUCAUCUCCUCCUGCUCAGUGGGUUUUUUGGAAUUCAUGGGUUGGUAUGUAUUAUUUGCUACUGCAACUGAGAAUAAAUUUGCUUUGCAAUCCCA